AUGUAUUGUAGGUUAAACAAGGUGGUGUGAUAGCUUUCAUCACGGUGGUGAAUCACUGGAUACCGGUGCGGCUACUCUCGGGACGAAUGGAGUUAUCCAGUUGACCAACCACGAAGGAUGUUGCGUUAUGGUGAAGGUACCUUCAUGUAAUCCCAACUCCCGUAGUAGGUGAUGCACCUCAGAGAAGUGAGUGGGUCUUGCCUCUCUUUUCAACAAUGAGCUUGUGUAUGCCCC